UACGUAGGGGGCAAGCGUUGUCCGGAAUUAUUGGGCGUAAAGCGCGCGCAGGCGGUGAUUUAAGUCUGGUGUUUAAUCCCUGAGCUCAACUUAGGGACGCAUUGGAAACUGGGUUACUGGAGUGUAGGAGAGGAAAGUGGAAUUCCACGUGUAGCGGUGAAAUGCGUAGAUAUGUGGAGGAACACCAGUGGCGAAGGCGACUUUCUGGCCUAUAACUGACGCUGAGGCGCGAAAGCGUGGGGAGCAAACAGG
rnacentral:rRNA from 1 species